CAGUUGGGCAACCAAAACUGAAACCAGCAGCUGGAGAGUGCAGCAUGCCCCAAAAUGCUCUGAAGAUAGUAAGCACCCUCGUAGCGCUAAUACAGUAAUCACUUUUUUUACCAGCAGCUGGAUGGAGCAUAUGUGCAGUGUGCUCUCUUUGGAGAAGCUGUCUCUGUGAAUUACCGAGUUGCAGAACAAAAACAUCUGGCAUUCCCUUGUGAGGAAAGCUCAGAUAUGAAAGCCAAGGCAAGGAGCAGG